rnacentral:Y_RNA from 1 species
AGCUGGUCCAAGCGCAGGGGUGUUUGCAACUAAUCGAUCACAACCAGUUGCAGAUGAACUCCCACUGCUUCACUUGACUAGGCUAAAA